UUGACCUCNAAUCAGGUAGGACUACCCGCUGAACUUAAGCAUAUCAAUAAGCGGAGGAAAAGAAACUAACAAGGAUU
rnacentral:rRNA from 1 species